GUCCCCGUGGUCCAACCGGUAGAGGCGGCCGGCCUAAAACCCGGCAUCGGAGCUGGUUCGACUCCUGCCGCGGACA
rnacentral:tRNA from 1 species